ACAGCCAUAUCACAUUGAAACACCAGUUCCCAUACAAUCACCAAAAUUAAGCAAUGUCAAGCUUGGUGAGUACCUAGAUGGGUGAGAAUUUUGGAAUACUAGGUGCUGUAAG